GGCGCACGGGUGCGUAACGCGUAUACAAUCUACCUAUUACAGGGGGAUAGCCCAGAGAAAUUUGGAUUAAUACCCCAUGGUAUUAUUAGAUGGCAUCAUUUAGUAAUUAAAACUACGGUGGUAAUAGAUGAGUAUGCGUCCUAUUAGUUAGUUGGUAAGGUAAUGGCUUACCAAGGCAUCGAUAGGUAGGGGUCCUGAGAGGGAGAUCCCCCACACUGGUACUGAGACACGGACCAGACUCCUACGGGAGGCAGCAGUGAGGAAUAUUGGGCAAUGGACGAGAGUCUGACCCAGCCAUGUCGCGUGCAGGAAGACGGCUUUAUGAGUUGUAAACUGCUUUUAUACAGGAAGAAACCCACCGACGUGUUGGUGGCUGACGGUACUGUACGAAUAAAGACCGGCUAACUCCGUGCCAGCAGCCGCGGUAAUACGGAGGGUCUAAGCGUUAUCCGGAAUCAUUGGGUUUAAAGGGUCCGUAGGCGGGCUAAUAAGUCAGAGGUGAAAUCCCACAGCUUAACUGUGGCCCUGCCUUUGAUACUGUUAGUCUUGAGUCAUAAUGAGGUAGAUGGAAUGUGUAGUGUAGCGGUGAAAUGCAUAGAUAUUACACAGAACACCGAUUGCGAAGGCAGUCUACUAAUUAUGUACUGACGCUGAGGGACGAAAGCGUGGGUAGCGAACAGGAUUAGAUACCCUGGUAGUCCACGCCGUAAACGAUGGAUACUA
rnacentral:rRNA from 1 species